GCUAAUACAACACGUUGAAACACCGGUUCCCGUACGAAUAGUGGAGUUAAGCAACGUCGAACCUGGUCAGUACUUAAAUGGGUGACCGCUUGGGAAUACCAGGUUCUGUAU